rnacentral:lncRNA from 1 species
GAAGGGCUAUGCAACUGGGGCUUCCUCUUCACAAAAAACACACGCCUAUACGGACAAUACGUACAGGCCUGGAAAAGCUGCGCAACACUCAGCUCUCUUCUUCUCCGACGAAGAAAAGAAAGAGACGAACAGACCCAUUUUCGAUCCUCACCACCCUUUCCCCUCUCCUUCCUCAUCUUGUUCAAUGAUAGCGCUUUCAGAUCUGGAAAUUUCGAAUAAACGACGGGUUUUCAAUUGAUUGGUUGGGUGAUAGUUGGUUGUCGAAUCAGGGACUGCUUUGGUGGGUUGUCUUUGCUCAUGUUGCAAGAGCUCGUCUUGUUUGGUGGUGGUCUGAGUUUGUUCUGUUCCGGCUUCUUAAACUAGGGAUUGUAUUCAAAGAUGGUGUAAUUAAAAGGAAAAUACAAUCUGCGAAAUUUGUUUACAGGUUUGAAUUUUGUUUCUUCUUUAAUUUAUUUCGAUUCCAAGAAAUCAAAUUAACGACACUGAUGUUUUUUUUAUGAGCAAUUUGCCGUUGGUUGGGUCAUUGUUAUACACUUCACGUAGAAUGUAAUAAAUAAUUAUGUCGUAGUUCUUUUUUUUUUCUUCCGUUUUUGUCUAAUAAUUAUGUGAUGUUUCAUUUAGUUGUUUCAAUUUUCAUGCAUCCCGCAAAGUUAAUAACGCGUUAGUUGUUUUAGGCGCGUUCUUUAAUAAUUUUACAUCCUUAAACUCUGGUGCGCUUUUCAUGUGACCCAAAUUCAAAUCCUAAAAUGUCGAAUAAAAAUAUGAUUUGGAUUGCGGGUAUAUUUCAUGUGACGCGAUCCAAAGACACAUUUUAGACGACAUUCAAUUUUCCUUAAAAAUUAAUUAAAAGCGAUAAAUAAUUUAAAAUUGCACCAUAGGUUUGAGACAUGUAUUAAAAUCAGAUAAUUUAAGCCAAAUAUAACAGUUGAGCGACCGUGCUAGAACCACGGAACUCGGGAAUGCCUAACACCUUCUCUCGAGUUAACAGAAUUUCUUACUCGGAUUUCUGGUUUGCGCACUGUUAGACAGAGUCAUUAUUUCCUCGAUUCGGGAUUCUAAACGGUGGCUUGGGACACCGUAAAUCUCCCAAGUGGAGACUCUGAAAUUGUUUUAAAUAAUUGAAUCAUGUUUUGAUUGUCCUUUAAUUGAAUAAACUCAUUUAUCUACGCCCUUCGCGGGGUUGUAGUGUAAAAGGAGGUGUGACUGCGCUGGCGACUCUGCUACGGAUCGAACCCAGAAUCUUUGUUUCAGGGUUCAAGAAGUCGAGCUUAGAAUAAUUGUUGUAUUUGGCUUUGUUUAUUAUCUGAUUUUGCAUGUUGGCUUAAUGUGCAAAAUGAUGCUUUUACCGUUUUGAUAUUAUCUGAACUGUACAUAUAAACUGCUACGAAACCCUUCUCUUCUCACCUUCGGGGAUGUGCUUACUGGUUUGGGCUCCCUAUUCUAUUAGUGUCAUACCCUAAAGUAAGAAAGAGGCCGGACAAGUUACUAAGCCAGAUGGCCUUUUGGUUCCCGAUACGUAGCCCCCUCCUCGACUUGAGUUGUCCGCUCGAGUACACAGUCUAGAAUAUAUACCAAGGUUUUGAACCUAGAAUAACUCAGCCUCAUGCUGGAUCCCUAGUAUGAACGCUUAUUUGCAUCAUGCAUUUGACUUAGCGGUCUCAACACAGGGCUUGGGUCCGUCCAGGACAGGUGUACCCAAUUUAAAAGACCAUCCUGAUGCAUUUUAUAUGCCACAUAUUGCAUUUUUUAAAGGGUGAAAGGGUCAUUUGGCAGACCAUUGAUAGCCGAGGGUAAAACAAAAUGAGAAAAAACGAAAAACAAUGAAAAAAAGAGAUGGCGAUGUCUGGAAAUAGAGCAAGCAAGGUGUAGUUACAUUUUUGUCACGUUUUUAUUUAAAAACAAAAAGAAGAUACAUGAAAAUUCAAAAAAAUAUCUUACUCUUUUUCAUCAUUACUUGAAAAUCAAAAGAAGAAAAAAUACAAAAAUACAAAAAUAGUUUACGUAUUUCAUCAUUUUUCAAAAGAGAUAAAAGAAUUUAUGUUCUUUAAAAAUGAGUUGUUUUUUUAUUAUUCUUGCCCGUAUCCAUAUUGCCCGAACUACGCAAACUUGAUUCUCGUCUUUUGGGACGUGAUAUGUAGGCAACCCACAUAGGGUCCGGUCUUCCUACUAAAUCUUAGGCCCUUGGCUUUACGGGGUCAUAGCCAGAUUUUGCACUUCUAGCCCAUGUUAGCCACAUAGGCUAGUUUUAGAAUUCAGAAGUUAUUCGUUUGGAAAUUGUGUGAAUUGAGUUGUGUCAAUGGACUCUACUAUUCAAGUUGAAAUUCUCUUGUCAAACUUUUUUUAUGUUGGUGAAAGUUCUGUUGAGAUCAGUCUUUGUUUGUUGGAACAUUGUUUUGCGAUUUUAAUUCAAUCUAUGAGUUGCACUUUUGUGAAGUUUUUAGAGUAAAUUGAUAGUUGAAAUUCUCCUAGUUUGAAUUUGUUACCGCUGAUUUCUAAUAGUUGUUAUUAUUGUUGAGUUUAAUAGAUGGGACUCGGUUGGACUAAAGAUUGAGCAGCUUAAAUUGUGAUUUGGUUGAGCAUACAGUAAGCUCAAUCUGCCGAAAAUUGGUGUCUGUUGAGAUUGUGCUCGAGUUUAGCAGUGAUAGCUUGAAAGCUGGUUUUUACUUCUAAAAUGUUCUCCUUGUGGAAUUGAGUGCUAUUUUUACAUAAACUAUUGUCCAGUUGGUUAGAAUCUGCUGACAGAAGCUGCAUAUUUGAUGGAAAAUAAUUUGCUGCUUAUUUUCUGUUGCUUAAAAGAAUUUCAUACUAGCUUUCCACCGCCUGCAUUGUUCAUUUUUCGCUCAACAAUGGAGAUUUUCAACUGGAAAAUAAUUUGUUGCUUGUUUUCUGUUGCUCAAAAGAAUUUCAUACUUGUUGUCCAUAGCCCUGCAUUGUUCAUUUGUUGCUCAACAAUGGAGAUUUCCACAUUUCUUUAAUUGAUUGUUGUUACUAUAGUUUUUCUUAACAGUUGAGGGAAUUUUGCGAAAGUUUUAGCUUCCGGUAACUCACUUGCGUUGCAUCAGUUUGUAUGCCAAUAAUACAUUAUUGAAAUUCAAGUUUUGAGUUAUUUUCUUUUAAAAGAUGAUCUCGCACUAUUUAGAUGUACUUUAUGGUUAUUCUGACUCAAUAUUGCUGUGAUUCUAAUGCUUUGUUUCUACAGUUGAGGUCGUCAUUCUGGGCUAAAAAUUUCUGUGCCUAUUGCUGCUGAAUUU